AGUGAACGCUGGCGGCAGGCCUAAUACAUGCAAGUCGAACGGCAGCACAGCAGAGCUUGCUCUGUGGGUGGCGAGUGGCGGACGGGUGAGGAAUACAUGGGAAUCUGCCCAGUCGUGGGGGAUAACGUAGGGAAACUUACGCUAAUACCGCAUGCGCCCUUCGGGGGAAAGCCGGGGACCUUCGGGCCUGGCGCGAUUGGAUGAGCCCAUGUCGGAUUAGCUAGUUGGCGGGGUAAUGGCCCACCAAGGCGACGAUCCGUAGCUGGUCUGAGAGGAUGAUCAGCCACACUGGAACUGAGACACGGUCCAGACUCCUACGGGAGGCAGCAGUAGGGAAUAUUGGACAAUGGGCGCAAGCCUGAUCCAGCCAUGCCGCGUGAGUGAAGAAGGCCCUCGGGUUUAAAGCUCUUUUGUCCGGAAAGAAAGCGCCGGGUUAAUACCCUGGUGUCCUGACGGUACCGGAAGAAUAAGCACCGGCUAACUUCGUGCCAGCAGCCCG
rnacentral:rRNA from 1 species